GAUGAACGCUGGCGGCGUGCCUAAUGCAUGCAAGUCGAGCGAACAGACGAGGAGCUUGCUCCUCUGACGUUAGCGGCGGACGGGUGAGUAACACGUGGAUAACCUACCUAUAAGACUGGGAUAACUUCGGGAAACCGGAGCUAAUACCGGAUAAUAUAUUGAACCGCAUGGUUCAAUAGUGAAAGACGGUUUUGCUGUCACUUAUAGAUGGAUCCGCGCCGCAUUAGCUAGUUGGUAAGGUAACGGCUUACCAAGGCAACGAUGCGUAGCCGACCUGAGAGGGUGAUCGGCCACACUGGAACUGAGACACGGUCCAGACUCCUACGGGAGGCAGCAGUAGGGAAUCUUCCGCAAUGGGCGAAAGCCUGACGGAGCAACGCCGCGUGAGUGAUGAAGGUCUUCGGAUCGUAAAACUCUGUUAUUAGGGAAGAACAAAUGUGUAAGUAACUAUGCACGUCUUGACGGUACCUAAUCAGAAAACCACGGCUAACUACGU
rnacentral:rRNA from 1 species